rnacentral:rRNA from 1 species
AACGUAGGAGACAAACGUUAUCCGGAGUUACUGGGCGUAAAGGGCGUGUAGGUGGUUUCGUAAGUCUGGCGUGAAAUUUUUCGGCUUAACCGGGAAAGGUCGUCGGAUACUGCGGAACUAGAGGACGGUAGAGGCGUGUGGAAUUCCGGGUGUAGUGGUGAAAUGCGUAGAGAUCCGGAGGAACACCAGUGGCGAAGGCGGUCUGCUGGGCCAAGACUGACGCUGAGGCGCGACAGCGUGGGGAGCAAACAGG